rnacentral:sRNA from 2 species
ACCUAGCCCUGAUGGAAGCGACAUCCUUUUGUGGCGGGGUUCGCCACAAAAGAUAUAGCGUACAGCAGGAAACAGC